ACUCAAAGGAAUUGACGGGGGCCCGCACAAGCGGUGGAGCGUGUGGUUUAAUUCGAUGGUAAGCGAGGAACCUUACCAGGGCUAGAAAUCCAGCUGCAUCCUCCUGAAAGGGAGGCGCCUUCGAGGGUGCUGGACAGGUACUGCAUGGUUGUCGUCAGCUCGUGUUGUGAGAUGUUCCCUUCAGUGGGGUAACGAGCGCAACCCUUAUUAUGUGUUGAUUUUCACAUGAGACUGCCGUGGUUAACACGGAGGAAGGUGGGGACGACGUCAAAUCAGCAUGGUCCUCUGACGCCCUGGGCAACACACGCGCUACAAUGGCUAGGACAGUGGGACGCUACCUCGCGAGAGGAAGCAAAUCCUUAAACCUAGUCUCAGUUCGGAUUGGAGUCUGCAAUUCGACUCCAUGAAGUUGGAAUCGCUAGUAACCGUGAAUCAGCUCGUCACGGUGAAUACGUUCUCGGGCUUUGUACACACCGCCCGU
rnacentral:rRNA from 1 species